UAACUUAGUGGCGAACGGGUGAGUAACGCGUGAGUAACCUGCCCUGGAGUGGGGGACAACAGUUGGAAACGACUGCUAAUACCGCAUAAGCCCACGAUCCGGCAUCGGAUUGAGGGAAAAGGAUUUAUUCGCUUCAGGAUGGACUCGCGUCCAAUUAGCUAGUUGGUGAGGUAACGGCCCACCAAGGCGACGAUUGGUAGCCGGACUGAGAGGUUGAACGGCCACAUUGGGACUGAGACACGGCCCAGACUCCUACGGGAGGCAGCAGUGGGGGAUAUUGCACAAUGGGGGAAACCCUGAUGCAGCGACGCCGCGUGGAGGAAGAAGGUUUUCGGAUUGUAAACUCCUGUCGUUAGGGACGAUAAUGACGGUACCUAACAAGAAAGCACCGGCUAACUACGUGCCAGCAGCCGCGGUAAAACGUAGGGUGCAAGCGUUGUCCGGAAUUACUGGGUGUAAAGGGAGCGCAGGCGGACCGGCAAGUUGGAAGUGAAAUCCAUGGGCUCAACCCGUGAAUUGCUUUCAAAACUGCUGGCCUUGAGUAGUGCAGAGGUAGGUGGAAUUCCCGGUGUAGCGGUGGAAUGCGUAGAUAUCGGGAGGAACACCAGUGGCGAAGGCGACCUACUGGGCACCAACUGACGCUGAGGCUCGAAAGCAUGGGUAGCAAACAGGAUUAGAUACCCUGGUAGUCCAUGCCGUAAACGAUGAUUACUAGGUGUUGGAGGAUUGACCCCUUCAGUGCCGUAGUUAACACAAUAAGUGAUCCACCUGGGGAGUACGACCGCAAGGUUGAAACUCAAAGGAAUUGACGGGGGCCCGCACAAGCAGUGGAGUAUGUGGUUUAAUUCGAAGCAACGCGAAGAACCUUACCAGGUCUUGACAUCCGAUGCAUAGUGCAGAGAUGCAUGAAGUCCUUCGGGACAUCGAGACAGGUGGUGCAUGGUUGUCGUCAGCUCGUGUCGUGAGAUGUUGGGUUAAGUCCCGCAACGAGCGCAACCCUUAUUGCCAGUUACUACGCAAGAGGACUCUGGCGAGACUGCCGUUGACAAAACGGAGGAAGGUGGGGAUGACGUCAAAUCAUCAUGCCCUUUAUGACCUGGGCUACACACGUACUACAAUGGCGUUUAACAAAGAGAAGCAAGACCGCGAGGUGGAGCAAAACUCAAAAACAACGUCUCAGUUCAGAUUGCAGGCUGCAACUCGCCUGCAUGAAGUCGGAAUUGCUAGUAAUCGCGGAUCAGCAUGCCGCGGUGAAUACGUUCCCGGGCCUUGCACUCACCGCCCGUCA
rnacentral:rRNA from 1 species